UGGCUUAUAGUUCAAUGGAAGAAUGCUGCGCUUCGAACGCAGAGACGAGAGUUCGAACCUUUCUAAGCCAA
rnacentral:tRNA from 1 species